rfam:Bacillus sp. B-jedd genome assembly, contig: CONTIG000001
UCCACUUGGGGAAGCGUUGAUAUAUAGCCUUUACUUGGACACUUGGGCUAUAUGGAGCUAUUAGUGUAACCGGCCCUCUUAUUA